ACGCGUGACCUCAACACGCGUCUGCCAGCGUGGCUGGCGCGUCUGUUAUACACGCUAGAGCAGUUCCGGAUUUCGCUAGCACCGAGUCCAGUGACCGGAGUUUGAUAGUAGCCCGGAGCACAAUU
rfam:Ancylostoma duodenale strain Zhejiang A_duodenale-1.0_Cont2680.1, whole genome shotgun sequence.